rnacentral:rRNA from 1 species
AUGCACGCUGGCGGCGUGCCUCAUCCAUGCCAGUCGAGCGAACAGACGAGGAGCUUGCUCCUCUGACGUUAGCGGCGGACGGGUGAGUAACACGUGGAUAACCUACCUAUAAGACUGGGAUAACUUCGGGAAACCGGAGCUAAUACCGGAUAAUAUAUUGAACCGCAUGGUUCAAUAGUGAAAGACGGUUUUGCUGUCACUUAUAGAUGGAUCCGCGCCGCAUUAGCUAGUUGGUAAGGUAACGGCUUACCAAGGCAACGAUGCGUAGCCGACCUGAGAGGGUGAUCGGCCACACUGGAACUGAGACACGGUCCAGACUCCUACGGGAGGCAGCAGUAGGGAAUCUUCCGCAAUGGGCGAAAGCCUGACGGAGCAACGCCGCGUGAGUGAUGAAGGUCUUCGGAUCGUAAAACUCUGUUAUUAGGGAAGAACAAAUGUGUAAGUAACUAUGCACGUCUUGACGGUACCUAAUCAGAAAGCCACGGCUAACUACGUG